CCAAGGCCACCGCUCCUCUCCUUUGGCUUUUUCUCUCUCGCACGCCAAGCUGCUUCUCUUCCUCUUUCGUGCGACGAGCUCCUUCUCUCUCGGCCAAGUCUUGCUUUUGCUUCUUUUUAAUCUUCCUUCGAAGACUGCCAGCCGUCCUCCUUCAGUCUCUGCCGCCUGCUCCACUCCAUCCGCACGAAGCCUUCCACCGAGGCUGACUUCAUGUUCUGUUGACCGAAGCAGCUCGACGCCAGCAGCUACUUCUUCUGCCACGUGAAAUUCAGCCGAUCGAAGCCAGCUCAGCCAUUUCGACUUCACGAGCAGUAGUUCGGCCAGCAAAGUCUUCCCACGUGAAGCCGCCCACCGAUUUUCCUCUGCCACGUCCAAGCUGCCACGCUUUUGUUUUCAUCUCCACCGGUCAACAAUCCUCUCCACCCAGCUCUUUGGUUGACCCUGCAGUUGCCCGUUUGUUCAUCGAGCAGCCAACAAAGCCCACAUCUCCUCUGGCUGUCCACGAAGACCGAAGCUGCCCCGAUUUCUUCAAUUUUCCUCAACUGAAGCAGUCGAGCAGUCCAGCGCCUUCGUCCAACGAUCCGCCGAGGCUGCUGCCGUUCGUCCAUCCCCACACGGCCCGCAAUCUAGCGAGUCUUCAUCCUCCAGCUCACGUGAAUUUUUAGCCCAGCAGUUGGGUCCAUCUCCAGCAACUUCAGCAAGCCCAUUUCAGUGAAGUUCAGUCCAGCAGCCCAGUUUUUGAGGCCCGCUUCAGCUUGGUCCAUUUAAGUUGUAGCCCAUUUUCAGUCUUGAAGUUCAGCCCAUCUUGGGCCCGUGAAGCAAGUCAGCCCAAGUUCGGCCCAAGCCCAGCAAUUUGCUGUAGGCUUGCAAGGCCUUUGGGCCCGGCCCAAGUGAUCGUCGACAUCGCCGAAAAUUCGGAUUUCGGCCGCCAUCGCGCUGUCGCGUCGCCAUCGCGGUGUUCCGGUCUUUGCUUUGCCAAGUGAGUAAUCUCACUAAUCCUUGAUUAGUAGACUAAUGAUGCUUAAGGGUUGAUUAGAUUUAAUUAAGUGCAAUUAGGUUGUUAGAUUAGAAUGGAUUAGUGAUUAUUAGUUAAUUGCAUUACAUAUUAGUUAGGUGGUUAGUGUACUUAGCUAGAGAACUGCCUAUACUAUUUAUUGAAUGCAUCUCGGGAUUUUUCCCGACCCUUAUUGGGCUUCAAUUAGGCAUUACGAGCAUAAAUUGGAUUUUUAGUAUUUAUUUAUUAAUUUUCGAAAUUAAUUAUUUAAUUAUUUAUUUUUCGGAAAUUAGGCAAGGAUAGCCG
rnacentral:lncRNA from 1 species